UCCAAAGGGAUCGCAUUGAUCUGAUUUCUGCUGAUUCGUCUCAAUGAUCGUUAAUCAUCAUUUUUGUUCAUUGGAUCAUGCGAUCCCUUAGGA
rnacentral:pre_miRNA from 1 species